UGUACGGCUGUCUCCAAAGUCCGUGCUGUGAACUCCAUCGUAAAAAGAGGAGGAAUGGUGUGGUGCCAGCGGCAAGGCAUCAAAGAAAGUUGCAACAUUAAUAUAGUGGUACUAACAUGGAAACGCCGCAAAGUAUGUGUGGAUCCGACACCUCACAAGAUGCAAAACCUUCUUGCAAUUUUGUGCAGCAACAGAAAAACUCGUAAAGGAGUGAGAAAGUCUGACCGCCUACACAGGAGGAAGACAAAAAUCUGGACUUCACCCAAACUGUAGACAACCAUCCUUUGUCUUCUGUUGCUCAACUGAAGAGUAUCGUUUUCAUUAAAGAUAAAAAUUAUCUGUGUAAACAGCGUAUCUUCCCUGUUGUAACCUGUUUGUGAACAGGAAACCUACAGUAAUUCCUUACUAUUAUCAUUUAAAAUAUCCGCAUGAAAAAAAAAAAAUGUUUUCAGUGUACAGAACUUAAUUAGGCUUAAUUAAUUAGGCCACAAAAUUAAAUUAAGAAGCCGUCGUAAUGCUGUUCUACGUACCCCAGAUCUUAAGUGAGUAAUUUUAAGCAAAAUUUUUUUUUUCACCCCUGACUAUUUCUUUAGAAUAUACUUUCACCGUGCGAUGUGUAAUUAACAUGUCAUCACUUCGACACUGGCGCAGUCACAGUCAGUGUUACUGAAGUGGAUUACUUCAGCUUGAUCUGACGCAAUAAAGUUUGUAACAACCAAAACAACCUAAUUACAUACAGGUGCAGGGACAAAGAAAAGUCCGAAGCAUUGUGACGGAGACAUGAAAUGAAACACAGUAGGCCUUCAUAGAACAAUUAAGCUCUCAGCAUGUGUCUUCAGGCAGUAUGGUAGGAUUUAGAAGAUACUGAGUUUCAUAUUUUCAAAAAGCUGAGCAAAUUUGACAGGAAAUAUAUUUACUUGUUUGACAUUUGGGAAAAUUUGGUUAUUUGCUCUAUCUCUAUCUGUAAGGCAAAUAUGAUGCAACAGCCAGCAGGCAGUUAGCUUAGCUUAUAGCAUAAAGACUAGAUACAGGGGAAACAGCAACCUUCCAUUUUUACACUUGAGUAGAGUACAGCUUAAUUAAGUAUGUGAGAUAUAAUGAGAUAUAGUGAAUUUUAG